UGGCUGGCUAAGCAGUGUGGAUACUUCGUAUAGCUAAAUGGUAAAGCCCUUAUUAAUCACAUGAGUAUUUGUGGGUUCGAUCCCCACUACGUCUCUUUCUACACGCGCGAUCCAGCUUUUUU
rfam:Strongylocentrotus purpuratus Contig35270_fixed, whole genome shotgun sequence.